CGCGUAGGCGGCGUGACAAGUCACUUGUGAAAUCUCCGGGCUUAACUCGGAACGGUCAAGUGAUACUGUUGUGCUAGAGUGCAGAAGGGGGCAAUCGGAAUUCUUGGUGUAGCGGUGAAAUGCGUAGAUAUCAAGAGGAACACCUGAGGUGAAGACGGGUUGCUGGGCUGACACUGACGCUGAGGCGCGAAAGCUAGGGUAGCAAACG
rnacentral:rRNA from 1 species